GACGAACGCUGGCGGCGUGUUUAAGACAUGCAAGUCGCACGGUGUCAUUUUGGUAGCAAUACUUGAAUGGCAUAGUGGCGCACGGGUGAGUAACACGUGAAUUACAUGCCCUGUAGAGGGGGAUAGCCCAGGGAAACUUGGAUUAAUACCCCAUGGUCUCGCAAGAGUAAAGGUGGCCGCAAGGCUGUCGCUACAGGAUUGGUUCGCGCCCUAUCAGCUUGUUGGCGGGGUAACGGCCCACCAAGGCUACGACGGGUACCUGGUCUGAGAGGACGGUCAGGCACACUGGAACUGAGACACGGUACAGACACCUACGGGUGGCAGCAGUCGAGAAUAAUGCACAAUGGGGGCAACCCUGAUGGUGCAACGCCGCGUGGAGGAUGACGGUCUUCGGAUUGUAAACUCCUGUCAUCCGGGAGUAAGACCUGGGCAUGAAUAGUGCACAGGGUUGAUAGUACCGGAAGAGGAAGGGACGGCUAACUUCGUGCCAGCCGCCGCAGUAAUAC
rnacentral:rRNA from 1 species